rnacentral:rRNA from 1 species
UACGUAGGGUGCGAGCGUUGUCCGGAAUUAUUGGGCGUAAAGAGCUUGUAGGCGGUUUGUCGCGUCUGCUGUGAAAAUCCGGGGCUCAACCCCGGACCUGCAGUGGGUACGGGCAGACUAGAGUGUGGUAGGGGAGACUGGAAUUCCUGGUGUAGCGGUGAAAUGCGCAGAUAUCAGGAGGAACACCGAUGGCGAAGGCAGGUCUCUGGGCCACUACUGACGCUGAGAAGCGAAAGCAUGGGGAGCGAACAGG